rnacentral:rRNA from 1 species
UACGGGGGGGGGCAAGCGUUGUUCGGAAUUACUGGGCGUAAAGGGUGCGUAGGCGGUCCGCUAAGUUAGAUGUGAAAACUCUGGGCUUAACCCAGAGCCUGCAUCUAAUACUGACGGGCUAGGAGUUCUGGAGGGGGUAGCGGAAUUCCAGGUGUAGCGGUAGAAAUGCUUAGAUAUCUGGAGGAACACCAGUGGCGAAGGCGGUGUUCUGGGCCUGUACUGACGCUGAUGCGCGAAAGCGUGGGGAGCGAACAGG